rnacentral:rRNA from 1 species
CAGCAGCCGCGGGAAUACGUAGGGUGCAAGCGUUGUCCGGAAUUAUUGGGCGUAAAGAGCUCGUAGGCGGUUUGUCGCGUCUGCUGUGAAAUCCCGAGGCUCAACCUCGGGCUUGCAGUGGGUACGGGCAGACUAGAGUGCGGUAGGGGAGAUUGGAAUUCCUGGUGUAGCGGUGGAAUGCGCAGAUAUCAGGAGGAACACCGAUGGCGAAGGCAGAUCUCUGGGCCGUAACUGACGCUGAGGAGCGAAAGCGUGGGGAGCGAACAGGAUUAGAUACCCGCGUAGUCCCUGUCUCUUAUAC